GAUUAACGCGAAGAACCUUACCUACCCUUGACAUGGUCGGAAUCCUGCUGAGAGGUGGGAGUGCUNGAAAGAGAACCGGCGCACAGGUGCUGCAUGNCUGUCGUCAGCUCGUGUCGUGAGAUGUUGGGUUAAGUCCCGCAACGAGCGCAACCCUUGUCCUUAGUUGNUACGCAAGAGCACUCUAAGGAGACUGCCGGUGACAAACCGGAGGAAGGUGGGGAUGACGUCAAGUCCUCAUGGCCCUUAUGGGUAGGGCUUCACACGUCAUACAAUGGUCGGAACAGAGGGUUGCCAACCCGCGAGGGGGAGCUAAUCCCAGAAAACCGAUCGUAGUCCGGAUUGCACUCUGCAACUCGGGUGCAUGAAGCUGGAAUCGCUAGUAAUCGCGGAUCAGCAUGCCGCGNUGAAUAGGUUCCCGGGCCUUGUACACACCGAAUA
rnacentral:rRNA from 1 species